AUGUCACUUCCCGGACCUUACCAGGCAGCUGCAGGGCCAUCCUCUGGGCCCACCGCUCCCCCAACCUAUGAAGAGACGGUGGGUGUCAGUGGUUACUAUCCGACACCCCCGGCACCCAUGCCCGGGCCGACCACUGGGCUGGUGACAGGUCCAGAUGGGAAAGGCAUGAAUCCACCUUCGUAUUACACCCAGCCGUCGCCUGUCCCCAAUACCAAUGCAAUUGCUGUUCAGACGGUCUACGUGCAGCAGCCCAUCUCCUUUUAUGACCACCCUGUCCAGAUGUGCUGUCCUUCCUGCAGCAAGAUGAUCGUGACCCAGCUGUCCUACAACGCCGGUGCCCUCACCUGGCUUUCUUGUGGGAGCCUGUGCCUGCUGGGGUGUGUUGCAGGCUGCUGUUUCAUCCCCUUCUGCGUGGACGCCCUGCAGGACGUGGACCACUACUGCCCCAACUGCAAAGCCCUGCUGGGCACCUACAAGCGCCUGUAGGACUCGCCACACGGGGGGCUCAUGCUGCAGGAGGUCGCCUGACCGUCACCCAGCUGCCCCAGGAGAAGCUCUGCUCCAGUGACUUCAUCUCUCCAGGGACUCCACCUUCAUGUCUUUUGGGGGGAAAAUGUCGCAAAAGUAACCCACCUCCAAACCCCAGAAAUUGCUGCUUGGAGUCGCACAUGGGCCUUGCAAGGACGUUGACCUUGAAUGUUUGUUCAAGGGUUUCUCACCGCCUACCUGGGACUUGUCACCCGGGCUAACUGUGAUUGUCACCCCCUUUGCUUUUCCUCUGGUGAUUGGCUGUUGGCUAGCUCCUUUUCCUGCCUCAGUGGGCCUUCCUGGUGGUCAUCUCAAACCUGAGAAGCCACAGUUUGCCUUAUCUUUGAGACUUGUGCCGGAAUGUGGCAGAACCAGCCUUAGUGCCUGUCAUCUGUCUCUUCCCUCGUGACAAAGACCUUGCCUCAGGGCUUGCGCUGACUCUAAUGCAGGCUGCAGUCUUUAGCACUCAGACUCACUUUAAUUUCCUCAUGUUUUUAAGUGCACGGAGGGCUAUUAACACCCACCAGGCACACAUCCUUGGGGUUGAAAACGCAAAUAAAGAAAUCUGGGGCUGGGUGUUGCCAUUAUUCGGUCUCUUCUUGCUUGGUGUCAGCACCACUUUGCACGAAGGGCUUUUUCUCAGAGUGAUUAGAUUCACAGUUCUAUGGCCUGCUUGUGAAAGGGGUUUAUAGAACCGUUUUCUGUGAGGAUGUGCUAGAUAUCCUUUUCCUUCCCAUUUGCCAGUGUGCACUUUGUUUUUCUUUUUUUUAAGACAGGGUCUUGCUGUGUUGCCCAGGCUGGCCUUGAACUCCUGGGCUCAAGUUAUCCUCUUGCCUCAGCCUCCCAAGUAGCUGGGACUGCAGGCAUGCCACAGUGCCUGGCUCUUUCUUUGGGUAAUUUCUUCCACUGCCUUCUUACAGAGGUUUGGUGCAGUUCUGAAGACCCUUUGGGGUUCUGGCUGUAUAAGCAGAGAGAAGAGGAAAGCCCAGUUGGGCCUGUUGGGGUGCCACAGGGCUGAGCGCUUGUCUCAAAGGAAUUUAAACUCUGAUUUUAUUUUUCAGAGAUGUCGUUUGUUGUAUGACAUCAACAUGGUUUGUAGGACCCAGUGACAAGCCAGCGUUCUACAAUGGCUGUUGGGUCAUCUUUGAAAUGGAGACAGAGCCGGGCUUGCCUCUCAGGGACCCCAUUUCCAGCCAAAAUCAGCACAGGGAAUUCCUGAGAAAACCCAAACUUGAGACUCGCUGAAUGUCCUGCAACGUCGAUAGGCCCGAUGUGGGUUGAGUGGCUCGCUAACGAGUCGGAUCCUGAUGUGAGGCUGUCAGAAGGCCGGAGGCGUCAUCGUGGCAGUCAGCCAUGGCUUUCAGGUUUUAAUGAAACGCACAGAGGAAAGCUGUUCCAUUCAUCCUCAGAACAGUGCUCGCUUUGUUAAUUGAUGGGGCACUGUGACAUGCCAGGGACAUGGGUGUCACCCCCUUCCUUUUCCCCACCUGUGGUGACACAGUUCCAUUUGAGGAGGCGCAGGGAAGCCUUGUCACCUUGGGUGGAGCACAUUGCUACUUAAAACCUAUUUCUGUUCUAGGACAAUCACUGCUCACAGGCCACAGUUGUGUGGUUUUUUCCCUUUCAUCUGAUCAAACUCUAGGCUGGGCGGAGUAGUUUUCUGGGGUGGCGGUAGAUAAGUGACCCCAGCUGUUACUAAUUACGCCUGCAAAGUGCUUCAGACCAGGGCCUGAUGUGCACAUAUCCCGUGGGCCUCUGAGCAGACAGCGUGCACUGGACACUCCAUUUUAUGGUGCAAAGCACGCAUCUAAUCCUAACGUUUUUGCACACUAGAAGGUGCUCUGGUUUGUCACUGUUUGUUGGGGACAUUGGCAUUAGUCUGUGACUGACGCUGAACCACAGUCAAUGAUGACAGGGCUGCGUACCAACCUUGAACUGGAAAGGUCUUAGUGGCUGCCUGUCGUACAUACGGUGAUGCCCUUCUGGGCCACAUGAAACGCUUCUUCGUGUCUUGUGAACAGGACAUGCAGCUACUGCAUGGAUCUUACACAGGACCUGACCUUUGCUGAGCACAGCCAGCUUGGGACAGCGGCUUCCCCCGUGCUACCCAGACGCCUCUUUGGGUGCUGAGCCUUUUAAGGCCUGCUGCCUUUAAAAUGGCGUGGCCCGUUUUCUCCGAGGGGAGGCCUGGCGGGUCCAGGGUGCUAAACGCCACCUCGGACUUUCUGGGCUCAGCUGUCUGAGGGGAGUAAAUGCACACGCUGGAAUUUUGCUUGCACUUUGGUCCUUAUUAAAAUUAUCUGCUGUCUGUUUGACUCCAGAGUUUACAACGGGAGCCUGUGUUUUACAGGUUCACGGGGAGGGAACUGGAAGCAGACCUUGCCACACCAUGCAGGAGACCAGGGGUGGUUUUAGGGUUUGGGGGUUUUGUUUCCUUACUUUAACCUAAGAUCUUUAAAGGAACAAGAUUUGAGGCUCAGAGUGAAUAAAAGGAAAGAACAAGAACCCAGCACAUGCUCAGGGUGGUGCAUUUAACCGUCCUCUCGAUAUUCUCUGAAGUACAGGAAAACGGUCCCCUAUUCUAGUAUUUUCUUCCUCUUUUUUAAAAAAUGGUGCUGGGAAUUGAACCCAGGACCUCUCACUCUGCCACUGAGCCACAUUUCACCGCCCUCCCCCCAGCCUU